rnacentral:rRNA from 1 species
CCUACGGGAGGCAGCAGUGGGGAAUAUUGCACAAUGGGGGAAACCCUGAUGCAGCACCGCCGCGUGAGUGAUGACGGCCUUCGGGUUGUAAAGCUCUGUCUUCAGGGACGAUAAUGACGGUACCUGAGGAGGAAGCCACGGCUAACUACGUGCCAGCAGCCGCGGGAAUACGUAGGUGGCGAGCGUUGUCCGGAGUUACUGGGCGGAAAGGGAGCGUAGGCGGACUUUUAAGUGAGAUGUGAAAUACUCGGGCUCAACUUGAGUGCUGCAUUUCAAACUGGAAGUCUAGAGUGCAGGAGAGGAGAAUGGGAUUCCUAGUGUAGCGGUGAAAUGCGUAGAGAUUAGGAAGAACACCAGUGGCGAAGGCGAUUCUCUGGACUGUAACUGACGCUGAGGCUCGAAAGCGUGGGGAGCAAACAGGAUUAGAUACCCCGGUAGUC